UACGAAGGGUGCUAGCGUUGUUCGGAAUCACUGGGCGUAAAGCGCGCGUAGGCGGCUUUGCAAGUCAGAGGUGAAAUCCCUGGGCUCAACCCAGGAACUGCCUUUGAAACUGCAAAGCUAGAGUGUCGGAGGGGAUAGCGGAAUUCCUAAUGUAGAGGUGAAAUUCGUAGAUAUUAGGAGGAACACCGGUGGCGAAGGCGGCUAUCUGGACGACAACUGACGCUGAGGCGCGAAAGCGUGGGGAUCAAAC
rnacentral:rRNA from 1 species